rnacentral:rRNA from 1 species
UCAGGAUGAACGCUGGCGGCGUGCCUAAUACAUGCAAGUCGAACGGAGUGGCAACACUUAGUGGCGACCGGGUGCGUAACACGUAGCUGACCUGCCCCUCAGCGGGGGAUACCAGUUCGAAAGGACUGCUAAUACCGCAUGGACUUUGAGCGCAUUAGAACCGUUCAAAGAAACUUCCGGGGCUGAGGGAGGGAGCUGCGGCCCAUCAGGUAGUUGGUAGGGUAGUGGCCUACCAAGCCAACGACGGGUAGGGGACCUGAGAGGGUGACCCCCCACACUGGGACAGACAUACGGCCCAGACUCCUACGGGAGGCAGCAGUAAGGGAUAUUGCGCAAUGGGCGACAGCCUGACGCAGCAACGCCGCGUGGAGGAUGACGGUUUUCGGACUGUAAACUCCUUUUGCCAGGGACGAGCAAGGACGGUACCUGGCGAAUCAGUCUCGGCUAACUACGUG